UACGUAGGGGGCUAGCGUUGUCCGGAUUUAUUGGGCGUAAAGAGCGUGUAGGCGGCCUGGUAGGUCUGCUGUGAAAACUCGAGGCUCAACCUCGAGAUGUCGGCGGAAACCAUCUGGCUAGAGUCCGGAAGAGGAGAGUGGAAUUCCUGGUGUAGCGGUGAAAUGCGCAGAUAUCAGGAAGAACACCUAUGGCGAAGGCAGCUCUCCGGGACGGUACUGACGCUGAGACGCGAAAGCGUGGGGAGCGAACAGG
rnacentral:rRNA from 1 species